ensembl:snoRNA SNORA70 Small nucleolar RNA SNORA70
CUGUGUCAAUGGCUGCAAACAGCAGCCUCCUGGGCAGCUGGAGGCACCUGUUGCUUGUCUGGGCUGCCCGAUGGGACCUGAGACAGUC